GAAUGGGUUUGAAUUUAUGGUAGGUCUAUCCCCGUGGGUCUCUCAUAUUUCCCCAUGUCAGAGCAAACUGUGGCCUUAAGCCAUUGCCUGGCCUCUGCCCAUAGGCUGCAGGCACUGAGGUGGGUUGCACAAUG